rnacentral:lncRNA from 1 species
UUAAUCCAAUUGCCAUAAUUAAUUCCACCCAUCACAAAUAAACCAAAACUCACUUCAAACCCUAAACCCAAAACUUAGACUCACCCCACCUCCCUUAGCUGAAAAUAUAGCUCCAAAACCCAGCAAAAUCACCUGCAAAAAGCUCUUCAAACACUGCAAUCUGGAAAAAUGUAGCAGAUGUGGCUUCUCCAUUCCACUCCUUAAAUCAGUUCUGAAGCCAUGUAAAUGCAGUUUUACUAGUUCACUGCCUUGCCGGCGUUUCUUUGAGUUUCGCCGUAUCCGUCCAGUUUUCUUUCACUAUAAACGCAACUGCUCCACCUUCACUAACCGUUGUUGAACUCAGUCCGUCAAGGUCGUCGAGGUCCCUCGGUGCGAGGUUUUUUUUUGGUUUGUGAUUCGGAUAGUGUUUGAGUUAUAUCGAUACUCUCUUCUUUGAUAUAUUCAGAGAGAUUCAAUAUGUAAUCAAAUUCAAAGCUUCUAUUCAUUUAAAGGUUAGCUUCUGUUUGCUAGCAUUUUGAUACUA